GUGGGGAAUCUUCCGCAAUGGACGAAAGUCUGACGGAGCAACGCCGCGUGAGUGAUGAAGGUCUUCGGAUUGUAAAGCUCUGUUAAUCGGGACGAAAGAGCCUAGUGUGAAUAAUGCUAGGAAGUGACGGUACCGGAAUAGAAAGCCACGGCUAACUACGUGCCAGCAGCCGCGGUAAUACGUAGGUGGCAAGCGUUGUCCGGAAUUAUUGGGCGUAAAGCGCGCGCAGGCGGAUCUGCCAGUCUGUCUUAAAAGUUCGGGGCUUAACCCCGUGAUGGGAUGGAAACUACAGAGCUAGAGUAUCGGAGAGGAAAGUGGAAUUCCAAGUGUAGCGGUGAAAUGCGUAGAGAUUUGGAAGAACACCAGUGGCGAAGGCGACUUUCUGGACGAUGUCUGACGCUGAGGCGCGAAAGCUAGGGGAGCGAACGGGAUUAGAAACCCGGGUAGUCC
rnacentral:rRNA from 1 species